rnacentral:rRNA from 1 species
AGAGUUUGAUCCUGGCUCAGGAUGAACGCUGGCGGCGUGCCUAAUACAUGCAAGUCGAGCGAACGGACGAGAAGCUUGCUUCUCUGAUGUUAGCGGCGGACGGGUGAGUAACACGUGGAUAACCUACCUAUAAGACUGGGAUAACUUCGGGAAACCGGAGCUAAUACCGGAUAAUAUUUUGAACCGCAUGGUUCAAAAGUGAAAGACGGUCUUGCUGUCACUUAUAGAUGGAUCCGCGCUGCAUUAGCUAGUUGGUAAGGUAACGGCUUACCAAGGCAACGAUGCAUAGCCGACCUGAGAGGGUGAUCGGCCACACUGGAACUGAGACACGGUCCAGACUCCUACGGGAGGCAGCAGUAGGGAAUCUUCCGCAAUGGGCGAAAGCCUGACGGAGCAACGCCGCGUGAGUGAUGAAGGUCUUCGGAUCGUAAAACUCUGUUAUUAGGGAAGAACAUAUGUGUAAGUAACUGUGCACAUCUUGACGGUACCUAAUCAGAAAGCCACGGCUAACUACGUGCCAGCAGCCGCGGUAAUACGUAGGUGGCAAGCGUUAUCCGGAAUUAUUGGGCGUAAAGCGCGCGUAGGCGGUUUUUUAAGUCUGAUGUGAAAGCCCACGGCUCAACCGUGGAGGGUCAUUGGAAACUGGAAAACUUGAGUGCAGAAGAGGAAAGUGGAAUUCCAUGUGUAGCGGUGAAAUGCGCAGAGAUAUGGAGGAACACCAGUGGCGAAGGCGACUUUCUGGUCUGUAACUGACGCUGAUGUGCGAAAGCGUGGGGAUCAAACAGGAUUAGAUACCCUGGUAGUCCACGCCGUAAACGAUGAGUGCUAAGUGUUAGGGGGUUUCCGCCCCUUAGUGCUGCAGCUAACGCAUUAAGCACUCCGCCUGGGGAGUACGACCGCAAGGUUGAAACUCAAAGGAAUUGACGGGGACCCGCACAAGCGGUGGAGCAUGUGGUUUAAUUCGAAGCAACGCGAAGAACCUUACCAAAUCUUGACAUCCUUUGACAACUCUAGAGAUAGAGCCUUCCCCUUCGGGGGACAAAGUGACAGGUGGUGCAUGGUUGUCGUCAGCUCGUGUCGUGAGAUGUUGGGUUAAGUCCCGCAACGAGCGCAACCCUUAAGCUUAGUUGCCAUCAUUAAGUUGGGCACUCUAAGUUGACUGCCGGUGACAAACCGGAGGAAGGUGGGGAUGACG